UACGUAGGGACCGAGCGUUGUCCGGAUUCAUUGGGCGUAAAGAGCUCGUAGGCGGCUGCUCAAGUCGAAUGUGAAAACUCGAGGCUUAACCUCGAGCUGUCGGCGGAAACCAUCUGGCUAGAGUCCGGAAGAGGAGAAUGGAAUUCCCGGUGUAGCGGUGAAAUGCGCAGAUAUCGGGAAGAACACCCGUGGCGAAGGCGGUUCUCUGGGACGGUACUGACGCUGAGGAGCGAAAGCGUGGGGAGCGAACAGG
rnacentral:rRNA from 1 species